AAAAAGCGUUGAAUCUUGACAGUCACUUUCAUUUGAUUCAUCCGAGGUGUAUGCGGGUUCAUUUAUUUUCCUUCUAAAGAAAGAGUUUGAGGAGAUAAUCAAUUGAAAAAUGCGAGCACCGUUCAAAUGGGAUUGGAGCUUUUUGUAGCUGCUGAAGAAUCUUUUUCAAAAUACCUACUCUUUUUGUAUAAGUGGAGAAUUCUGUGACAAAUAUGUCUUCAAUUUUGGUGAUAUAUUCAUAAAAUGAUACUUUUGGUGCAAGGAGAACGCCAAAGCUCUUGUCUGACUCAUAUGCCUUGAAGUAGCAAAGCAGAUUUCUGCUAUCAUCAAGUUGGUCUGUGACCAUAACUGACUCACAUAUGGAACACUUGUGCUUUUCAAAAUAUUUCUGGAAUGGAGAAAUCAAAACAGGAAUGCUUUGAGUCAGCUUUGCAGAAUUGUGCCAGUAAGUCAUCAAAGUCAUCAUCACAGUUGCCUUGUGAUGAAUUUAAGAAUGAACUAAAAAACAGCUUCCUGAAAGCACGGGUGAACUGGAUGGAGGUUGGAUUGUCGCUGUUGCCACCCUGCUGACGAAUUGCUCCAAAAAAGUUCUCUAU